rnacentral:rRNA from 1 species
UGAACGCUGGCGGCAUGCCUUACACAUGCAAGUCGAACGGCAGCGCGGACUUCGGUCUGGCGGCGAGUGGCGAACGGGUGAGUAAUACAUCGGAACGUACCCUGUUGUGGGGGAUAACUAGUCGAAAGAUUAGCUAAUACCGCAUACGACCUGAGGGUGAAAGUGGGGACCGCAAGGCCUCACGCAGCAGGAGCGGCCGAUGUCUGAUUAGCCAGUUGGUGAGGUAAAGGCCCACCAAGGCGACGAUCAGUAGCUGGUCUGAGAGGACGAUCAGCCACAACUGGGACUGAGACACGGCCCAGACUCCUACGGG